rnacentral:rRNA from 1 species
GACGAACGCUGGCGGCGUGCCUAAUACAUGCAAGUAGAACGCUGAAGCUUGGUGCUUGCACCGAGCGGAUGAGUUGCGAACGGGUGAGUAACGCGUAGGUAACCUGCCUGGUAGCGGGGGAUAACUAUUGGAAACGAUAGCUAAUACCGCAUAAUAGUAGAUGUUGCAUGACAUUUGCUUAAAAGGUGCAAUUGCAUCACUACCAGAUGGACCUGCGUUGUAUUAGCUAGUUGGUGAGGUAACGGCUCACCAAGGCGACGAUACAUAGCCGACCUGAGAGGGUGAUCGGCCACACUGGGACUGAGACACGGCCCAGACUCCUACGGGAGGCAGCAGUAGGGAAUCUUCGGCAAUGGACGGAAGUCUGACCGAGCAACGCCGCGUGAGUGAAGAAGGUUUUCGGAUCGUAAAGCUCUGUUGUAAGAGAAGAACGAGUGUGAGAGG